rnacentral:lncRNA from 1 species
GAAAGAUCUCCCAUGCUCAUGGAUUGGCAGGAUUAAUUUAGUAAAAAUGGCCAUUUUACCAAAAGCAAUCUACAGAUUCAAUGCAAUCCCCAUCAAAAUACCAAUCCAAUUCUUCAAAGAGUUAGACAGAACAAUUUGCAAAUUCAUCUGGAAUAACAAAAAACCCAGGAUAGCUAAAGCUAUCCUCAACAAUAAAAGGACUUCAGGGGGAAUCACUAUCCCUGAACUCAAGCAGUAUUACAGAGCAAUAGUGAUAAAAACUGCAUGGUAUUGGUACAGAGACACACAGAUAGACCAAUGGAAUAGAAUUGAAGACCCAGAAAUG